UACAGGGGGGGCAAGCGUUGUCCGGAAUCACUGGGCGUAAAGGGCGCGUAGGUGGCGGCCCAAGUCCGUGGUGAAAGCUCGCCGCUUAACGGCGAGUCGGCCACGGAGACUGGGUGGCUCGAGCACUGUAGGGGCAGAUGGAAUUCCGGGUGUAGCGGUGGAAUGCGUAGAGAUCCGGAAGAACACCAGUGGCGAAGGCGGUCUGCUGGGCAGUUGCUGACACUGAUGCGCGACAGCGUGGGGAGCAAACAGG
rnacentral:rRNA from 1 species